CCUACGGGAGGCAGCAGUGGGGAAUAUUGCACAAUGGGGGAAACCCUGAUGCAGCGACGCCGCGUGAGUGAAGAAGUAUCUCGGUAUGUAAAGCUCUAUCAGCAGGGAAGAAAAUGACGGUACCUGACUAAGAAGCCCCGGCUAACUACGUGCCAGCAGCCGCGGUAAUACGUAGGGGGCAAGCGUUAUCCGGAUUUACUGGGUGUAAAGGGAGCGUAGACGGCGCUGCAAGUCCGGAGUGAAAGCCCAUGGCUUAACCAUGGUACUGCUCUGGAAACUGUGGAGCUUGAGUGCGGGAGGGGCAGGCGGAAUUCCUAGUGUAGCGGUGAAAUGCAUAGAUAUCACGCAGAACCCCGAUUGCGAAGGCAGCCUUCCGGCGCCCUACUGACGCUGAGGCACGAAAGUGCGGGGAUCGAACAGGAUUAGAUACCCCAGUAGUC
rnacentral:rRNA from 1 species